rnacentral:rRNA from 1 species
GUGCUGUGAGCUCGAUGAGUAGGGCGGGACACGUGGUAUCCUGUCUGAAUAUGGGGGGACCAUCCUCCAAGGCUAAAUACUCCUGACUGACCGAUAGUGAACCAGUACCGUGAGGGAAAGGCGAAAAGAACCCCGGCGAGGGGAGUGAAAAAGAACCUGAAACCGUGUACGUACAAGCAGUGGGAGCACCCUUUGGGUGUGACUGCGUACCUUUUGUAUAAUGGGUCAGCGACUUAUAUUCUGUAGCAAGGUUAACCGAAUAGGGGAGCCGGAGGGAAACCGAGUCUUAACCGGGCGUUAAGUUGCAGGGUAUAGACCCGAAACCCGGUGAUCUAGCCAUGGGCAGGUUGAAGGUUGGGUAACACUAACUGGAGGACCGAACCGACUAAUGUUGAAAAAUUAGCGGAUGACCUGUGGCUGGGGGUGAAAGGCCAAUCAAACCGGGAGAUAGCUGGUUCUCCCCGAAAGCUAUUUAGGUAGCGCCUCGUGAAUUCAUCUCCGGGGGUAGAGCACUGUUUCGGCUAGGGGGCCAUCCCGGCUUACCAACCCGAUGCAAACUGCGAAUACCGGAGAAUGUUAUCACGGGAGACACACGGCGGGUGCUAACGUCCGUCGUGAAGAGGGAAACAACCCAGACCGCCAGCUAAGGUCCCAAAGUCAUGGUUAAGUGGGAAACGAUGUGGGAAGGCCCAGACAGCCAGGAUGUUGGCUUAGAAGCAGCCAUCAUUUAAAGAAAGCGUAAUAGCUCACUGGUCGAGUCGGCCUGCGCGGAAGAUGUAACGGGGCUAAACCAUGCACCGAAGCUGCGGCAGCGACACUGUGUGUUGUUGGGUAGGGGAGCGUUCUGUAAGCCUGUGAAGGUGUGUCGUGAGGCAUGCUGGAGGUAUCAGAAGUGCGAAUGCUGACAUAAGUAACGAUAAAGCGGGUGAAAAGCCCGCUCGCCGGAAGACCAAGGGUUCCUGUCCAACGUUAAUCGGGGCAGGGUGAGUCGACCCCUAAGGCGAGGCCGAAAGGCGUAGUCGAUGGGAAACGGGUUAAUAUUCCCGUACUUGGUGUUACUGCGAAGGGGGGACGGAGAAGGCUAUGUUGGCCGGGCGACGGUUGUCCCGGUUUAAGCGUGUAGGUGUGUGUUCCAGGUAAAUCCGGUUCACUUUAACACUGAGGCGUGACGACGAGGCACUACGGUGCUGAAGCAACAAAUGCCCUGCUUCCAGGAAAAGCCUCUAAGCAUCAGGUAACAUCAAAUCGUAC